UUCCCUUUGUCAUCCUUCGCCU
rnacentral:miRNA from 4 species